UAAGGAAUAUUGGUCAAUGGAGGGAACUCUGAACCAGCCAUGCCGCGUGAAGGAUGACGGCCCUCUGGGUUGUAAACUUCUUUUGGAUGGGGCGAAAAAACGGGAUUUAUCCUGGACUGACGGUACCAUCAGAAUAAGCACCGGCUAACUCCGUGCCAGCAGCCGCGGUAAUACGGAGGGUGCAAGCGUUAUCCGGAAUCACUGGGUUUAAAGGGUGCGUAGGCGGUUGUAUAAGUCAGGGGUGAAAGCACGCAGCUUAACUGUGUAAUUGCCUUUGAUACUGUAUGGCUUGAAUAGGGUUGAGGUUGGCGGAAUGUGACAUGUAGCGGUGAAAUGCAUAGAUAUGUCAUAGAACACCGAUUGCGAAGGCAGCUGACUGGGCCUAUAUUGACGCUGAGGCAC
rnacentral:rRNA from 1 species